GUUAGCUCAGUUGGUGAGAGCGGCGGCCUUAUAAGCCGUGUGUCAUGGGUUCGAGUCCCAUA
rnacentral:tRNA from 1 species